AAAAAGACAAACCCUAGGUUUACGUGCCAACGUUUGACUGUUCGUUUUAUAUGAAAAAAUUUUAUAAUUAGUAUUUUCAUUGUUGUCAGAUGAUAAAACAUGAUUAAUACUUUAUGUGUGACUUAUCUUUUUAAUUUUUUCAUAAUUUUUUCAAAUAUGAUGGACGGACAAACGUUGGACACGGAAAUCACGGUUUGUCUUUUU
rfam:Oryza glumipatula chromosome 12, whole genome shotgun sequence.